CUUUCUUCUUGCUUUCUCUUCGGAUACCAUUUCCGUAAUACCCUCUCACUUCUGCCGAACCAUCGUCGUCUUGCUUUUUCCGCUUUGAUCAUCUGAUUUUUCAUCUUCGGCUUCUUUCCGCAUCUGAGUACCAUAAGAUCUGAUAGGUGCCGACAAUUAGAAACAACACUUGGUGAAUCCACCAGUUAUGGAUACAAUUGAUUGGAGAGAUGAAUUGCAACCUCACUCCCGCAGAAGAGCUGUCAAAUCAAUUUCUGUUGUAGAAAUGCCAUAGGAGCUCCUGUGGGCCUGUAACUUGCAAUAUCCCUUGACUCAUUCUUGGACAACCAAAUAUUUCAUGAUUCAGUAUUCGUUAAUGAUAUCUUGAGAACAAGAAAGGAUCUAUAUUUUCCCGCACUCUUGAUAUAGGCGAAGAACAAAUGAAACCUUAGAAGAUGAAGAGAAGAUUGAAGGAUGGCUUAUUGAUGAUCAGUAUGGGGAUUUUGUAUUUCAUGAGGAAGAGGAACUGGUUCACAUAUAUCAGGAUAAAGCUUAACCUCAAAAAUCAUGCCAAACAUUUUCGCAAGUCAGGUACUUAGUAUGAUAAUUAAUGGAUGAUUA